UGUUGUCUCCAUGACAACUGCCAAUGUUCCAGUGAUUCGAGAGGAACGCCUUUGGGUAAUCACACGCCAAUGUCAUCAUUACCUGAGAGAUGACGCUUUCGGGCGGUAAUAAAUCUGUUAACCUUUGAAAACAGAGACCCCUGCGGUUAAGGUCCUU
rnacentral:sRNA from 1 species